GAUGAACGCUGGCGGCGUGCCUAAUACAUGCAAGUCGAGCGAACAGACGAGGAGCUUGCUCCUCUGACGUUAGCGGCGGACGGGUGAGUAACACGUGGAUAACCUACCUAUAAGACUGGGAUAACUUCGGGAAACCGGAGCUAAUACCGGAUAAUAUAUUGAACCGCAUGGUUCAAUAGUGAAAGACGGUUUUGCUGUCACUUAUAGAUGGAUCCGCGCCGCAUUAGCUAGUUGGUAAGGUAACGGCUUACCAAGGCGACGAUGCGUAGCCGACCUGAGAGGGUGAUCGGCCACACUGGAACUGAGACACGGUCCAGACUCCUACGGGAGGAAGCAGUAGGGAAUCUUCCGCAAUGGGCGAAAGCUUGACGGAGCAACGCCGCGUGAGUGAUGAAGGUCUUCGGAUCGUAAAACUCUGUUAUUAGGGAAGAACAAAUGUGUAAGUAACUAUGCACGUCUUGACGGUACCUAAUCAGAAAGCCACGGCUAACUACGUG
rnacentral:rRNA from 1 species